AGAGUUUGAUUAUGGCUCAGGAUGAACGCUGGCGGCGUGCUUAACACAUGCAAGUCGAACGGUAAGGUCCCCUUCGGGGGACACACGAGUGGCGAACGGGUGAGUAACACGUGGGCAACCUGCCCCUCACAUCGGGAUAACCACCGGAAACGGUGGCUAAUACCGGAUACUCCGGCGAGAUCGCAUGGUCUUGCCGGGAAAGCUCCGGCGGUGAGGGAUGGGCCCGCGGCCCAUUAGCUUGUUGGUGGGGUAAUGGCCUACCAAGGCGACGAUGGGUAGCCGAGCUGAGAGGCUGAUCGGCCACACUGGGACUGAGACACGGCCCAGACUCCUACGGGAGGCAGCAGUGGGGAAUCUUGCGCAAUGGGCGAAAGCCUGACGCAGCAACGCCGCGUGCGGGAUGAAGGCCUUCGGGUUGUAAACCGCUUUCAGCAGGGAUGAAACUGACAGUACCUGCAGAAGAAGCCCCGGCUAACUACGUGCCAGCAGCCGCGGUAAUACGUAGGGGGCGAGCGUUAUCCGGAUUCAUUGGGCGUAAAGCGCGCGUAGGCGGCUUGCUAAGUCAGAUGUGAAAACCGGGGGCUCAACCCGCGGCCUGCAUCUGAAACUGGCAGGCUUGAGUCUGGUAGAGGAAAGUGGAAUUCCUGGUGUAGCGGUGAUAUGCGCAGAUAUCAGGAGGAACACCAGUGGCGAAGGCGGCUUUCUGGGCCACGACUGACGCUGAGGCGCGAAAGCUAGGGGAGCAAACAGGAUUAGAUACCCUGGUAGUC
rnacentral:rRNA from 1 species